rnacentral:rRNA from 1 species
GACGAACGCUGGCGGCGUGCCUAAUACAUGCAAGUUGAGCGAUGAAGCUUGGUGCUUGCACCCAUUUGAAGAGCAGCGAACGGGUGAGUAACGCGUGGGGAAUCUGCCUUUGAGCGGGGGACAACAUUUGGAAACGAAUGCUAAUACCGCAUAACAACUUUAAACAUAAGUUUUAAGUUUGAAAGAUGCAAUUGCAUCACUCAAAGAUGAUCCCGCGUUGUAUUAGCUAGUUGGUGAGGUAAAGGCUCACCAAGGCGAUGAUACAUAGCCGACCUGAGAGGGUGAUCGGCCACAUUGGGACUGAGACACGGCCCAAACUCCUACGGGAGGCAGCAGUAGGGAAUCUUCGGCAAUGGACGAAAGUCUGACCGAGCAACGCCGCGUGAGUGAAGAAGGUUUUCGGAUCGUAAAACUCUGUUGGUAGAGAAGAACGUUGGUGAGAGUGGAAAGCUCAUCAAGUGACGGUAACUACCCAGAAAGGGACGGCUAACUACGU